rnacentral:misc_RNA from 1 species
GAUACACCUUGGUGUUGCCUGACUCUGGCUCUAGGCCGUGAAUUUUAGUUGUCAUUUUAGUUCAGUUCAGUUGAGUCAGAGUCGAGCGUUGCGUCGUUUUCUUUGCUUUUGUCGUUUCGUCCACGCUUUUGCCUCAUUUUCGCCAACUGCAAAAUUUAAUUUAACAAAAAGUGGAAAAAUCGAAAGAAGCAGCGGAAGCACGAGCCGAUUUAAGUAGACCAAUAAUAUUCCAGAAGCGAAAAGAUAAUCAGAAUCAUUCUACGACGUCUGCAAGUAGCAACUCAACAUCUGAAAUCAGCAGCUCCAAAAGCUCUAAAUCAAGCAACAAUCCGGAAGGAUCCAAGAAAAUAAACAAGCAG